AUUGAACGCUGGCGGCAUGCCUUACACAUGCAAGUCGAACGGCAGCACGGGAGCAAUCCUGGUGGCGAGUGGCGAACGGGUGAGUAAUAUAUCGGAACGUGCCCAGUCGUGGGGGAUAACGCAGCGAAAGCUGUGCUAAUACCGCAUACGAUCUACGGAUGAAAGCGGGGGAUCGCAAGACCUCGCGCGAUGGGAGCGGCCGAUAUCCGAUUAGCUAGUUGGUGAGGUAAAGGCUCGCCAAGGCGACGAUCUGUAGAUGGUCUGAGAGGACGACCAGCCACACUGGAGCUGAGAAACGGUCCAGACUCCUACGGAAGGCAGCAGGGGGGAAGUUUGGACAAUGGGCGCAAGCCUGAUCCAGAAAUGCCGCGUGCAGGAUGAAGGCCUUCGGGUUGUAAACUGCUUUUGUACGGAACGAAACGGCGAGCUCUAAUACAGUUUGCUAAUGACGGUACCGUAAGAAUAAGCACCGGCUAACUACGUGCCAGCCGCCGCGGUAAAAC
rnacentral:rRNA from 1 species